rnacentral:lncRNA from 1 species
CUAACUUAAACCGGACCUUUCGUGGCGAUUUAUUGUUUUCUAGAAUAUCGGACUUAUUAUAUUUUAUUUUUUUCUAAGUGGAAAUUUAUAUUUUUGAACUUUUUCCGACCUUUGCUUUGUGGUGAACUUUUCUUUUGUUUCGGACCGUGUCAAAUUUUUUAUCCGGACCUAAGUGGCAAACUUUUAUUUUCUUUCGUGGACGUUUAAAUUUCUUUGCUUUGUAUUUUCCUUCGUGGCUAAUUUUUUUUGCCUAUGUGGCAUUAUUAAUUUUUUUAAAAAAAAAAGAGCGACUCAAUUUUUUUUUCAUAUUUCUUAGCCUGUGUGGCAUCGUUCUUCUUUUAGUGCGGAAAUUUAAUCUUUGAAUUUUUUGAAAUGGCGGAACAGAAGUUUGCAAAAAUUCCGGUGUUCGAUGGCACUAAUUAUCUUAAUUGGCGUUUUCGGUUAUUUACAUUUUUGGAAGCAAAGGACUGUGUGGAACCUGCGCGAAGUGAAACGAAACCUCCUGAAAUGGAAGAUACUACCUGGUCUCUUAAAUGUGUUAAAGCGAAAAAUUUUCUAAUUAACUUCAUAUGUGAUUCGCAAUUGGAAGUGAUUAAAGACGAACAGUCGGCUUUUUCUAUGGUGCAAAAGUUAAAUACGCUCUAUGACGUGCAAGACACGCAAAAGAAAUUGUUAAUACAAAGACAAUUGCUUAAUCUGAAAUUCGAUGAAAAUGAUGAUCCGAAUAAAUUUUUUGAACAGUUUGACAAACUAAUCAGUGACUUAAAAUCAGCCGGAGAAAAUUUGACUGAGGAAGCUAAAUUGAAUUUCUUUUUACUUGCUCUUCCAGUAAGUUUGAGUAUCUUGCUGGAUACCGUUGAUGCAAUUCCUCCUCAUAACAAAAAUGUGACAUACUUUAAGUUGAAAGUCAAAACUAUCUGCGAAACACGUAACAGUGCAUCUGUGUCGGAAAAUUUCGGUGUCAAAUCUCAAAAUCGUCAAAAGCAAGGAGGCGCUAACCGAGGAGGCGCAAAUCGGGGAAAUCAGCGAGGAGGCGCAAACCGAGGAUAUCGUGGAAGGAGAUGUUACACCUGCAACGGAUACGGGCAUUUUUCUAAUAUCUGUCCCAAUAAUCAAAGGAAACCAGUUGCCCAACAACUUCAACAGCAAGAGGAAGCGUCACAUCAAUCUACUGAUCCCAACGAUUUGUCUCUGUAUUGUAACGUACUCAACAAAAAUUCUAUGUGUUAAAUAUAUAAUAUAGAUAUUAUAAUUUAAAGGAGGCGUGUUCGGAAUUAACGUUAUCACCUUAUCUUAUGUCGUUAAUCUAAAUUACUUGAUCGACAAGAUUGCUUGCUACUCUUUCAGAACUUGUCUCUUGUGUUCGAAAUGUAUUCUUCCUGUGUGGUAGUCAGUUAAUAAAGAAGUCUGUAUAUUUUAAUAAAGUUGUCUUUAUUAAAAUCCUUAUAACAAAAUCUUAACAUACGGACUGGACGACGGGUAUUUUUCCAUGACGAAGAGGAGGAAUAGGCUUGUCGAAGACGUAUAGAUGGAUGGAUAAGAGAAUUCAUGUAAUUCAAUCCGAUAUUGUGAAAAUCAGACAAACUUUCAAAGUUACUCGUUGAAUAAUUGUUUUGAGUUGUACGUUACUAAUCGUUUAAUCUGCAAUUUACAAACAUCCAAUGGAUCCAUGUUAAAAAAAAAAAAAAAAAAAAAAAAAAAAAAAAAAAAAAAUUGUUGAGUCAGAAUAUUAUGUUUUAUACCCGAAUGUUACUAAAGCGAGAGGUGAUAGAGCAGUACCGCCGCUUCGACGACCUGCUGAGCAGUGCCGCCGCUUUGACGACCUGCUGAGCAGUACUUGGCCCGUAAACAUCGGGAAACACGCACAGCUCUCAACGCUGCAGCGGCGUUGCUCCAACCCACCAGAGAUCCCCGUCUCCGACGACGUUCACGCCUCGUUUCGGGAGGCUACCUCGAUGGUCGCGAUGUCUACGGCUCUAUUGGAUUUCCACGUCACCAAAAAGAACUUUGUUGAGCUCAGCGAGGCAUUGCUUGCAGCCCUCGUCAAAUAUAACAGGCGCCAAGCCUCCGAGGUCUCGAGAGCACCCUUCAAUUGUUACCGCAACCGCCCGACCGGAGAGGCCCUCCAGAAGGAGCUCCGGGUCGUCCCCAUCCUGGACCGAGCGGUCGGAAUCCGUGAUGCCGUUCUGGAGGAUCAAAGCGGACGGCCCGAGUUCUUCCUUGUUCCGGGCGGGAAAAACAAGAGGCCCGUGGCCAUCAUCGUCCCCCGCUCGCUCUCGCUGGUAUCGAUCUGCUGAACGCGACCAGGGACGCCCUCGUGAUCCCACCUCCGACCGGUGGCACCGGCAAAAAUAAGUCGCAGAAGAAGGGAAAGAAGCAGCAGCUGCAGGGUGCCGAGGAGGUGGGCCAGAGUCGCAUCAACGACCUGCUCUUCCCUCGUCCAGACUCCUCGCACCCGUACGAUGUGGUGCACGUCAUAGGGCGCCUUGGAGAACGCCUCGCUCGGGAUCGCCGGCUUCAGCGUCCCGAGCUGCUAACUACGAGGACCAUAAGAACUCGGCUCGCAACUAUGGCAUCGGAGCUGCCCGAUCGCCGGCUCGCAGAAGCUCUCAACGUCCACCUAGAUCACUCGGAGACCACGAGCGCACGGUAUUAAAAUCGGCAGAUCCAACUACGGCUCCUCGGGCUUUCGCUGACGUCGACGUGCAUCGUGAUCCUCGAGAGGCAAAGCCGGCGACCCUAAGUAAGGGAGAAGAAACGCCAUCACUUAAAAAGACAGGAAUCCCGGCGGAACUCGUGCGAGACAUCGCGCAGUUCGGAGUUAACGCGGCGACGGAAAGAAUUCUCGCCUCGAUCGAAAAGGAAGUGUCGCUUCCGUAGACGACUUCAUGACUCCAUCCUACACCACGCCUUCCCCGCCGCAGACUCGCGCACGCAGAGCAUGCUCCUGCUGACUAGGGAGGCCUCACCUGUCGACUCCUCGCCGCGGCGUCCGUCUCCACCUAGCCGGCCACAGAAGUCUGUGCAUUUCACCAAGCAGCUCGCUACCGCGCUUUACGGCCCCGCAGCCGCCAUCGGUGGCCCCCACUGCAAGGCCCGACUUAGAUGCAGCGGCAGAAGUGGACUGGUCCUUACAUACACCGGAACGACUAUAUAAUAAUAAAUCUAAGCGAGGCGCCGCAGUUGAAGGGGUUAUGGAAGUAUCCGAGCGCCCAACGGUGCUCGUAUGAACAUCCACACUGUGAGUAGGGAGAAAAGAGACCACUUCCUAUUUUCUCAGUUGCUUUGUAUUUUCUGUGCUGUUCGGUGCGUGAUCUUUUCCAAGUUCUCUUUGUGCUCCCAAAGUGUUAAAAUGUGCUUUCCUUCGUUAACUUCUGAGGCCUCUGUUCCCGUGCCUGUACCUGUAUCGGAGG